rnacentral:rRNA from 1 species
GAUGAACGCUGGCGGCAUGCUUAACACAUGCAGGUCGGACGGGAAGUGGUGUUUCCAGUGGCGGACGGGGGAGUAACGCGUAAGAAGUUGCUAUUGGGAGGGGAACAACAACUGGACAUGGUUGCUAAUACCUCAUAGGCUGAGGAGCAAAAGGGGGAAUCCGCCCGUAGCGGGGCGUGCGUCUGAUUGGCUUGUUUGUGAGGUAAUAGCUGACCACGGCGAUGAUCAGUAGGUGGUCCGAGAGGAUGAACAGCCACACUGGUACUGAGACACGGCGCAGACUCGUACAGGAGGCAGCGGGGGGGAAUUUUCCGCAAUGAGCGAGAGCCUGACGUGGCAAUGUCGCGGGGAUGAAGAAGUCCCGCGGGUCAAGAACGUCUUUUCUCGGUGUAGAAACAAUGACGGUAGCUGAGGAAGAAGCACCGGCUAACUCCGUG